rnacentral:rRNA from 1 species
GACGAACGCUGGCGGCGUGCUUAACACAUGCAAGUCGAACGGAAAGGCCCUGCUUGCAGGGUACUCGAGUGGCGAACGGGUGAGUAACACGCGGGUGAUCAGCCCUGCUCUUCGGGAUAAGCCUGGGAAACUGGGUGUAAUACCGGAUAGGAGCCAUUUUUAGUGUGAUGGUUGGAAAGUUUAUUGGGUGUAGGGUGAGUUUGCGGCGUAUCAGCUUGCUGGUGCGGUAAUGGCCUACCAAGGCGGCGACGGGUAGCCGGCCUGAGUGGGUGAGCGGCCAUCCUGGCUCCGACGGGCGGCCGAGACACCUACUGUGGGCAGCAGUGGGGAAUAUUGCACAAGCGGCGCAAGGCUGAUGCAGCAAGUCCGCGUGUGGGAUGACGCCCUUCGGGGUGUAAACUCCUUUCGCAAGGGACGAAGCUUUUUGUGACGGUACCUAGUUAAGAAGCACCGGCUAACUACGUG